GAUGAACGCUAGCGGGAGGCCUAAUACAUGCAAGUCGAACGGUAAGGUCCCUUCGGGGAUACACGAGUGGCGGACGGGUGCGUAACGCGUACGAAACAUACCUUCAACAGGGAGAUACCUCCGGGGAAACUGGGAAAUAAUACCCCAUAGUAUUGAGAUAUCGCAUGAUAUUUCAAUUAAAGCUUUGGCGGUUGAAGAUUGUCGUGCGUCUGAUUAGCUAGUUGGUGAGGUAACGGCUCACCAAGGCGACGAUCAGUAGCUGGUCUGAGAGGAUGAUCAGCCACACUGGAACUGAGACACGGUCCAGACUCCUACGGGAGGCAGCAGUAGGGAAUAUUGGACAAUGGGC
rnacentral:rRNA from 1 species